rnacentral:tRNA from 1 species
AUGCCCGUGGCCGAGUGGUUCAGGCACCGGUCUCCAAAACCGGUUACGGAAGUUGAUUCUUCCCGGGUAUG